CUGUGAUGUCAGCAGCGUGGAGGGCACAAGCUGGGACCUGAGUCCAGGAAGAAAGAAAGGAAGGAUUCUGAGGAUUUGGGCAAAGCCACAUUCCUGGAGAAGUCUGUAUACUGAUGCCAAACCCAAGAGCUGAGCUACUGAUGAGGCCCAGGGAGUAGCCCACACGCCCUGAGCUGUUGGCUAGCAAGGCCUUCCUGCUCCAUGUGGCAUGGAAAAAUUAUAUGCAAGCUUCUUGUCACACUGUCUUAUGACAAGGAGACGUCUUACUAAAGCACAGACUCGCUGGUAGGCGCCUGGAUUUGACUGGCUGGGCUGUCUACACAUCAUUCAGUUUGGAAAGUAAGCCCAGUCUCAGAGAGCUGAAGUAUUAACCCGAG
rnacentral:lncRNA from 1 species